GGAGAGUUCAGUCAGUAAAGUGAAGAAUCUGAGAUUGUGGGACUGCAGUUUAUCAGAGACCAGCUGGACUUCUCUGUUCUCAGCUCUGAAGUCCAAACCGACCCAUCUGACAGAACUGGACCUGUUCAGAACCAACCUGGAAGAUUCUGUAGUGAAGGAGCUCUGUGGUUUUCUACAGACUGAAGGCUGCAGACUGGAGACAUUGGAGUAUAUUGUUCAGAUGCAGUUUGUCAAAGAUCAGCUGUGAUUAUUUGGCCUCAACUCUGAAGUCCAACCCGACCCGUCUGACAAAACUGGACCUGGGAGGAAACAACCUGAAGGAUUCAGAUGUUCAGCAGCUGAAGAAUCUUGUAAAGACUGUAAAGUUCUGAUCUCUGUGAAGUAGAAAAUGGUCUCAGUGUCCUGCUGAUCCUCA